GUCAGUAGUCCGAAUUGUUCGGAACCCAGUCACACUACGCGGAAUUUAAAAUUUUCGCUAUGGAAUAGUUGAAAAUGUUGCAGUAGUGUUGUUUAAAGUCUAUUUUAUUGCAAGCAUAACUAUUUAAGUGGCACAAAGCAUUUUGUGAAGGUGGUCAAGCCAACGAAAACUUGCCACAUGCGUGUCGUUCACCUACCACGCUAUUGAUAACGGUAACAUCGAAAAUUUAAAGAAAUAGUCUUUGAAAAUCGUUUUGUUGGCAUCAGUGAGAUGACAGCGGAACUUAACAUCUCUUCUAGAUCGACUCAAUACAUUUUAUUGUAGUUUAGUUGUUUUGGAUAUGAAGCAUGUCGAUGAUAGACUCGUAACAAAAACCUGAAACUUUUGCAAAUAUAGUAGAGGUACAGGGCACAAAAGAGAUGUCGCUGAGCAGCUUACAGUCAACAAAUGCAAAAUUUUAGCUCAGCUUGCCAAUAUAUUUGUACACCAUACUUACUGUAAGUGAGUGCGUUGUUGACGUAGGUCAGCUGCAGUUGCUAUAAUAAAAAUCGAUUUUCUACUACAACACGUUAGCGCUGAUGUGGGUGUAGCUCGUUGACUUUAGUUUAACGCAUUAGCCUCUGUAUAAAUACGUGUGCAUGUAUAUACAUAAGUAUAUGUGCACAUAUGUAUGUAUGCGCUUAUGUAUACGACGUGCUUAUAAACGAGCAAAAAUAUUGAUGAACUUCGCGGUCAAUUUCGUUGCUGUGAUAAAAACAGACUGUACUCACUUACAUUGGUGUUGCUGAUGACCGUGAGAGCUGGGAAGAAAAAUGAUAAACACAACAGUUAUUGCGUUUUUUUUUUAAACUGCUCACAACAAACACGCGAACAAUUGAACAAAUUUAAAAUCAACAUGAUCUUGUAAAUACUUACACAAUAUAUACAUAUAUAUAAGUAGGUCUGCAGCGAACUGUAACGCUCAUUCACUUGAGAGUUAUCAUCAAGUAACUUCCUUCGCCGUCAAUCCGACAACGCGUCGUCGCAUAACGCGCGGUUGUCAGCUUUACCGCUACACAAUUUAAUCUGUUUUAUCUCUCAACUAAGUAAAUACGUCACUGAUUAACUCUUGUAUUCUAUAUUUGUAAAUGUCGCGAUGCUUGACUGAUUUAACUGUCAGCCACUUGAGCUAAUCGCAGAAGCGAAUGAAAAGCGUUGCCGACAUACUUACGCACACACACGCUUGUUUAUUUGCUUGAAAAAAAAAGAAGAUAUUAAUAAUGUAAUCACAAAGUAAGUCCAAUAACACACACACACACACACACUUACGAACAAUUGCGCUUACAGCUGUGCGUAAAGGCACGGCGACAAGAAGCAGUUUUGCUGCCCACGUAACGAACAUAAAGCAAUAAAUAAGGCAAUAAAAUUCAUGAAGGCGGCCUCAAAGAAAAUAAAUGCAAUCAAACGAAAGAUAAAAAAUGAAAAAUAACUGAAGGAAAAUGGAAAAAAUUAAUGGUAAAAUUAACAACAAUUGACAUAAAAUGGUCAAUGGACUCGUUAAGCUUCGAAGGCAGGGACAGGCUCUGUAAGCGACUGUUGUUAAGUGGACGCCUAAAGACGGAAAAUUGUAGCAGUGCAAUGUAAGGGCGUGUGUAUGUUUAUGUGCUAACCCCUCAUCAAAUAUGUUGUGGAGCUGAUUGCUGCUUUUGUCUUUUCAAAUCUUAACGUUUCUUCAUGGGUUAGAGUUUGCGAAACAAUGAUUGACAACACACACGGUUGCCGAACAGGUCAGUGUCAAUGAGAACAGCGCUAAUUAAGGUCAUACUAGCGACAAGUUUCGGUAACUCUGUUCGUGUAAGAUAUAAAGUUGGUGAAGCUGGAAUCGUAAAUUUCAUCUCUAGUGUCGAUUACGACAGUGUUGCUGAUCGUACUGGCCUAUGGUCAGCUUAAAGACUUGCUAUUAAAUUAAAUCUUCAAUAAUAAUAAAUUUUUAUUACACAUAA